AGCGGUAGCACAGAGAGCUUGCUCUCGGGUGACGAGCGGCGGACGGGUGAGUAAUGUCUGGGAAACUGCCUGAUGGAGGGGGAUAACUACUGGAAACGGUAGCUAAUACCGCAUAACGUCGCAAGACCAAAGUGGGGGACCUUCGGGCCUCAUGCCAUCAGAUGUGCCCAGAUGGGAUUAGCUAGUAGGUGGGGUAACGGCUCACCUAGGCGACGAUCCCUAGCUGGUCUGAGAGGAUGACCAGCCACACUGGAACUGAGACACGGUCCAGACUCCUACGGGAGGCAGCAGUGGGGAAUAUUGCACAAUGGGCGCAAGCCUGAUGCAGCCAUGCCGCGUGUGUGAAGAAGGCCUUCGGGUUGUAAAGCACUUUCAGCGGGGAGGAAGGCGGUGAGGUUAAUAACCUUGUCGAUUGACGUUACCCGCAGAAGAAGCACCGGCUAACUCCGUGCCAGCAGCCGCGGUAAUACGGAGGGUGCAAGCGUUAAUCGGAAUUACUGGGCGUAAAGCGCACGCAGGCGGUCUGUCAAGUCGGAUGUGAAAUCCCCGGGCUCAACCUGGGAACUGCAUUCGAAACUGGCAGGCUAGAGUCUUGUAGAGGGGGGUAGAAUUCCAGGUGUAGCGGUGAAAUGCGUAGAGAUCUGGAGGAAUACCGGUGGCGAAGGCGGCCCCCUGGACAAAGACUGACGCUCAGGUGCGAAAGCGUGGGGAGCAAACAGGAUUAGAUACCCUGGUAGUCCACGCCGUAAACGAUGUCGAUUUGGAGGUUGUGCCCUUGAGGCGUGGCUUCCGGAGCUAACGCGUUAAAUCGACCGCCUGGGGAGUACGGCCGCAAGGUUAAAACUCAAAUGAAUUGACGGGGGCCCGCACAAGCGGUGGAGCAUGUGGUUUAAUUCGAUGCAACGCGAAGAACCUUACCUGGUCUUGACAUCCACAGAACUUUCCAGAGAUGCAUUGGUGCCUUCGGGAACUGUGAGACAGGUGCUGCAUGGCUGUCGUCAGCUCGUGUUGUGAAAUGUUGGGUUAAGUCCCGCAACGAGCGCAACCUUAUCUUUGUUGCCGCGGUUCGGCCGGGAACUCAAGGAAACUGCCGUGAUAACUGCAGGAAAGUGGGGAUGACGUCAGUCAUCAGGCCCUUACUACGGGGCUACCACCUGCUACAUGGCAUGUCG
rnacentral:rRNA from 1 species